rnacentral:rRNA from 1 species
UGGCGGACGGGAGAGUAAUGUCUGGGAAACUGCCUGAUGGAGGGGGAUAACUACUGGAAACGGUAGCUAAUACCGCAUAACGUCGCAAGACCAAAGAGGGGGACCUUAGGGCCUCUUGCCAUCGGAUGUGCCCAGAUGGGAUUAGCUAGUAGGUGGGGUAACGGCUCACCUAGGCGACGAUCCCUAGCUGGUCUGAGAGGAUGACCAGCCACACUGGAACUGAGACACGGUCCAG